rnacentral:rRNA from 1 species
UACGUAGGGGGCAAGCGUUGUCCGGAUUUAUUGGGCGUAAAGAGCGUGUAGGCGGCUGGUUAGGUCCGUUGUGAAAACUCGAGGCUCAACCUCGAGACGCCGAUGGAAACCCUCCAGCUAGAGUCCGGAAGAGGAGAGUGGAAUUCCUGGUGUAGCGGUGAAAUGCGCAGAUAUCAGGAAGAACACCCGUGGCUAAGGCGGCUCUCUAGUACGGUACUGACGCUGAGACGCGAAAGCGUGGGGAGCGAACAGG